rnacentral:rRNA from 1 species
UACGGAGGGAGCUAGCGUUGUUCGGAAUUACUGGGCGUAAAGCGCGCGUAGGCGGCUAUUCAAGUCAGAGGUGAAAGCCCGGGGCUCAACCCCGGAACUGCCUUUGAAACUAGAUAGCUAGAAUCUUGGAGAGGCGAGUGGAAUUCCGAGUGUAGAGGUGAAAUUCGUAGAUAUUCGGAAGAACACCAGUGGCGAAGGCGACUCGCUGGACAAGUAUUGACGCUGAGGUGCGAAAGCG